rnacentral:miRNA from 1 species
GGUGUUGGGAUGUGAAGUUGUUCCUCAAUGGCUCAGUAGCCAGUGUAGAUCCUGUCUUUUGUAAUCAGCAGCUACAUCUGGCUACUGGGUCUCUGAUGGCAUCUCCUUACU